CAAUAGCGUAUAUUAAAGUUGUUGCAGUUAAAAAGCUCGUAGUUGGAUUUCUGAUCGAGACAUCAGGUCGGGUCCGAGAGGAUCAUGUACUUUGAUUUUGUUUUGAUCAUCCUUGGGGAGAGCAUUUCUGGCAUUCAGUUGUCGGGAUUGGGAUCCUCAUCGUUUACUGUGAAAAAAUUAGAGUGUUCAAAGCAGGCCUCGGCCUCUGAAUACAUUAGCAUGGAAUAAUAAGAUAGGACUUUGGUGGUCUAUUUUGUUGGUUUGCACGCCAAAGUAAUGAUUAAUGGGGAUAGUUGGGGGUAUUCGUAUUCAAUUGUCAGAGGUGAAAUUCUUGGAUUUAUGGAAGACGAACUACUGCGAAAGCAUUUACCAAGGAUGUUUUCAUUAA
rnacentral:rRNA from 1 species